rnacentral:rRNA from 1 species
AUUGAACGCUGGCGGCAGGCUUAACACAUGCAAGUCGAGCGGGGUGAUGGUGCUUGCACUAUCACUUAGCGGCGGACGGGUGAGUAAUGCUUAGGAAUCUGCCUAUUAGUGGGGGACAACAUCUCGAAGGGGAUGCUAAUACCGCAUACGUCCUACGGGAGAAAGCAGGGGAUCACUUGUGACCUUGAGCUCAUAGAUGAGCCUAAGUCGGAUUUGCUAGUUGGUGGGGUAAAGGCCUACCAAGGCGACGAUCUGUAGCGGGUCUGAGAGGAUGAUCCGCCACACUGGGACUGAGACACGGCCCAGACUCCUACGGGAGGCAGCAGUGGGGAAUAUUGGACAAUGGGGGGAACCCUGAUCCAGCCAUGCCGCGUGUGUGAAGAAGGCCUUAUGGUUGUAAAGCACUUUAAGCGAGGAGGAGGCUCUUUUGGUUAAUACCCAAGAUGAGUGGACGUUACUCGCAGAAUAAGCACCGGCUAACUCUGUGCCAGCCGCCGCGGUAA